AGCAGCCGCGGUAAUUCCAGCUCCAAUAGCGUAUAUUAAAGUUGUUGCAGUUAAAAAGCUCGUAGUUGAAUUUCGGGGUCAGUAGGUUGGUCGUGCCACCGGUACGUACUGGUCUCACUGAUUCCUCCUUCCUGAUGAGCUGUAAUGCCAUUAAUUUGGUGUUGCAGGGAAUCUGGACUGUUACUUUGAAAAAAUUAGAGUGUUUAAAGCAGGCUAACGCUUGAAUACAUUAGCAUGGAAUAAUGAAAUAGGACGUUCGAUCCUAUUUUGUUGGUUUCUAGGAUUGACGUAAUGAUUAAUAGGGAUAGUUGGGGGCAUUAGUAUUCAAUUGUCAGAGGUGAAAUUCUUGGAUUUAUUGAAGACUAACUACUGCGAAAGCAUUUGCCAAGGAUGUUUUCAUUAAUCAAGAACGAAAGUUAGGGGAUCGAAGACGAUCAGAUACCGUCGUAGUCUUAACCAUAAACUAUGCCGACUAGGGAUCGGAUGAUGUAUAC
rnacentral:rRNA from 1 species